ACCUCAAAGCUAGCCUAUAUAUUAACUCAACUAGACCUUAUAAAUCUAAUCUACAUUAUAACUUUUAACUAAAACAUUCUCAACCUUUCAGUAUGGGCGACAGAACAAUAACCUCAGCGCAAUAGCUUAUGUACCGCAAGGGAAAGCUGAAAAAGAAAUGAAACAAAUCAUCAAAGUACUAAAAAGCAGAGAUCAUACCUCGUACCUUUUGCAUCAUGAUUUAGCUAGAAAAACUAGGCAAAAAGACCUUAAGUCUAUCCCCCCGAAACUAAACGAGCUACUUCGAAGCAGCACUAUAGAGCUAACCCGUCUCUGUGGCAAAAGAGUGGGAAGACUUCCAAGUAGCGGUGAAAAGCCUACCGAGUUUAGUGAUAGCUGGUUACCCAAGAAAAGAACUUUAGUUCUGCAUUAAUUUUUUCACCAUCUAGACAAGACUUACUCGUCAAAGAAAUUUAUAAGAAUUAAUAGUUAUUUAGAAGAGGUACAACCCUUCUAAACUAAGACACAACUUUUUAAGGUGGAAAAUGAUCAUAAUUAUUAAGGUUACUAUCCCAGUGGGCCUAAAAGCAGCCACCUGUUAAGUAAGCGUCGCAGCUCUAAUCUAAUAAUUAAACCUUUAAUUCAGAUAUCCAUUCACAACCCCCUUCAUCCUAUUGGGUUAUUUUAUAUAUAUAUAUAAAAGAACUUAUGCUAAAAUGAGUAAUAAAGAGAACAAAUCUCUCCCGACACAAGUGUAUGUCAGAAAGAAUUAAAUCACUGAUAAUUAAACGACCCCAAACUGAGGUCAUUAUAUCACUUAACCAUCAACUAGAAAACCCUAUUCCCCUACUCGUUAUCCCUACACAGGAGUGUCACCAGGAAAGAUUAAAAGAAAAUAAAGGAACUCGGCAAACACAAACUCCGCCUGUUUACCAAAAACAUCGCCUCUUGAUAAACCAUAAGAGGUCCCGCCUGCCCUGUGACAAUGUUCAACGGCCGCGGUAUUUUGACCGUGCAAAGGUAGCGUAAUCACUUGUCUCUUAAAUGAAGACCUGUAUGAAAGGCAUCACGAGAGUUUAACUGUCUCUAUUUUCUAAUCAAUGAAAUUGAUCUAUUCGUGCAGAAGCGAAUAUAAUAACAUUAGACGAGAAGACCCUAUGGAGCUUCAAACACUUAAAUUAAUUAUGUAACCACCCACUUCCCAGGAAAUAAACAAAAUAUACAAUACUUCUAAUUUAACUGUUUUUGGUUGGGGUGACCAAGGGGAAAAACAAAUCCCCCUCAUCGAUUGAGUACUAAGUACUUAAAAAUUAGAAUGACAAUUCUAAUUAAUAAAACAUUUAUCGAAAAAUGACCCAGGAUUUCCUGAUCAAUGAACCAAGUUACCCUAGGGAUAACAGCGCAAUCCUUUCUCAGAGUCCCUAUCGAAGAAAGGGUUUACGACCUCGAUGUUGGAUCAGGACAUCCUAAUGGUGCAACCGCUAUUAAGGGUUCGUUUGUUCAACGAUUAAUAGUCCUACGUGAUCUGAGUUCAGACCGGAGAAAUCCAGGUCAGUUUCUAUCUAUGAAUACACUUUUCCUAGUACGAAAGGACCGGAAAAGUAGGGCCAAUGCCACUAGCACGCCCUAUUUUCAUCUAUUGAAUAAAACUAAAAUAGAUAAGAAAAGAUCACCUAGUGCCCAAAAAAAGGGUU
rnacentral:rRNA from 1 species